ACACACUUCCCAUCAGUCCUCCUCCCGCCCUCCAUUCUCCUAAUAGGCUUCUAUCAUAAUAUGGUUACUGUUCAGUGCUUAUAUUUUAGGACUAUAUAAAUACUAUUCAUAACUAAAUUAUAUGAUAGUAUUACUGCGGUAACUUCUUCUUUCCUACCCAUUUUCCUUGGAGUUACGUCCCUUGGUUUCCUAGGUACUUGUCAAUAAUUCAAUCUCAGCUCCUAUGUAAACCCUCAAUAUGUUCAGAGGCAACAGGUGUCCUAAUAGUUAAGCUAUCUUCUCUGGAGCCAGCACUAAACCCAACCUGGCUGCCUUCUAUGCUGAGUGCACGGCUGCCAUCCUGGAACCUCCUUUUGCUGUGCUCCUGGGGAGUCACCUUGCUCUUUGCAUUGGAUCUCCCAUUGCCUUUAUGCCAUGCUUUCUCCUUUUGGAGUACAUAAUACUCUGCAUGUGUACUGUUCAUUCCCUCCAGCCGUUCCCCGGUGUUCUGAAAUCUCACACUCAUGUGCCUGGAUGUGCACACUGAUAAGGAAUGGAAGAAGGCAGGGUGCUUUCUCCUUCCAUUGCGUUGAAACUAGGUGCGCUGAGCCCU
rnacentral:lncRNA from 10 species